UCCAUUAAUGUUGUGUCUGGUCAAGGCCCGUGAUCAUAUGAAACCCAUUUCUUGCGAUACCGGAGAUCUGUACGAAAUGAACGCGCAGCCAGAGAAGCCUGUGCAACAUGAACUUGUUCACUCAUGUCCAUCCUUCACCGUCAGAUCCUUCUUGGAACAAAUAUCAGCGUCAUAGCGUUCUUUCAAUAUCAUCUCGUCAUUACCAUCAAGUACUGUCAGCUCAGCUGUGACCUGUACUCCUGUCAAGUUGAAUUUGAAAAUUCCCUUUAGGGUCAACCUCGGGUUUUACAGUGGAUGGAUACGGUAUGGUAUUUGUGGGGCGCUGUGCUGCGAAGGGGAGAGAGAGAGAGCAGAGGUGUCUUUUGAGGAACGACAGAUUGGAUCCAAAGAAAUUAACGCACUUGAUCUACCCCUUCCACUUCACUCCAACACUCUAUCAAUUAAUUCAACCAUGCAGCUAGGAUGUCCGUGCUCAUUGGACUCCGUUUCGUUGCCCCGUCAAUCUUCUUUCCUCCCUGCCCUUCCUCUUGCCUUUCCACUAUUCCCCAAUCGUGCAUGGAAGGACUUUUGUCUCUGUCGCGGUGGAGGCUGAUAAAAUCACAAAAACACUCAACGAUCUCAGCUAUGGAGAUCGAUGAGGUAUUCUCCGACGCUAUUCAUCAUCAAGUAUGUAUGUUUAAGAUUUUAUCAAUACAUAUCUAGAAUAACCUAUAUAGUUAUUUAUAA